AUUGAACGCUGGCGGCAUGCUUUACACAUGCAAGUCGAACGGUAACAGGCCGCAAGGUGCUGACGAGUGGCGAACGGGUGAGUAAUGCAUCGGAACGUGCCCAGUCGUGGGUGAUAACGCAGCGAAAGCUGUGCUAAUACCGCAUACGAUCUAUGGAUGAACGCGGGGGACCGUAAGGCCCCGCGCGAUUGGAGCGGCCGAUGUCAGAUUAGGUAUUUGGUGGGGUAAAGGCUCACCAAGCGAACGAUAGGUAGCUGGUCUGAGAGGACGACCAGCCAAACUGGGACUGAGACACGGCCCAGACUCCUACGGGAGGCAGCAGUGGGGAAUUUUGGACAAUGGGCGCAAGCCUGAUCCAGCAAUGCCGCGUGCAGGAAGAAAGCCUUCGGGUUGUAAACUGCUUUUGUACGGAACGAAACGGUCUGGGUUAAUACCCUGGGCUAAUGACGGUACCGUAAGAAUAAGCACCGGCUAACUACGUGCCAGCAGCCGCAGUAAAAC
rnacentral:rRNA from 1 species